AAAUAAUACUAAUGUUAAACCAUUUAAACGGGAAAAACCAACAGUCUAAUCUAUAUAAAAACGAGAAGCAUGGUUGAGCUGUUAGAGCAAAUGGAUAAAUACAUUCAGACAAACAAAAUCUAGAGAGUUUUUUUUAUAUAUUUUAUGUGAAAAUGACAAUAAAAUGAAUGGUCGUAGUGUGAACGUAUUAAGGUCGUGAGAAGAGCGUGAUGAGGACGGCAAGGGCGUGCUAGAAUCGUACUAUUGUCGUGAACAGCGUGGUAAAGUCGUAUUGGAAGCGUAGUUGGGUCGCGGUGAGAACGUGAUGGUCGUAGUAAGGUCGUGAUAACGUCGCUGUGAGAUCGUAGCGCAAUCUC
rnacentral:lncRNA from 1 species